UACGUAGGGUGCAAGCGUUGUCCGGAAUUAUUGGGCGUAAAGAGCUCGUAGGCGGUCUGUCGCGUCUGCUGUGAAAACUCGGGGCUUACCCCGGGCCUGCAGUGGGUACGGGCAGACUAGAGUGCGGUAGGGGAGACUGGAAUUCCUGGUGUAGCGGUGAAAUGCGCAGAUAUCAGGAGGAACACCGGUGGCGAAGGCGGGUCUCGUGGGCCGUAACUGACGCUGGAGGAGCGAAAGCAUGGGGAGCGAACAGG
rnacentral:rRNA from 1 species